GACGAACGCUGGCGGCGUGCUUAACACAUGCAAGUCGAACGGAAAGGCCCUGCUUUUGUGGGGUGCUCGAGUGGCGAACGGGUGAGUAACACGUGAGUAACCUGCCCUUGACUUUGGGAUAACUUCAGGAAACUGGGGCUAAUACCGGAUAGGAGCUCCUGCUGCAUGGUGGGGGUUGGAAAGUUUCGGCGGUUGGGGAUGGACUCGCGGCUUAUCAGCUUGUUGGUGGGGUAGUGGCUUACCAAGGCUUUGACGGGUAGCCGGCCUGAGAGGGUGACCGGCCACAUUGGGACUGAGAUACGGCCCAGACUCAUACGGGAGGCAGCAGUGGGGAAUAGUGCACGAUGGGCGGAAGCCUGAUGCAGCAACGCCGCGUGCGGGAUGACGGCCUUCGGGUUGUAAACCGCUUUCGCCUGUGACGAAGCGUGAGUGACGGUAAUGGGUAAAGAAGCACCGGCUAACUACGUG
rnacentral:rRNA from 1 species